CCCUUAGAUGUUCUGGGCCGCACGCGUGCUACACUGAGUGGAUCAGCGGGUCAGGUUGCGCGAAAGUGUUUCCUAAUCUUGAAAUCCGCUCGUGAUGGGGAUUGACGGUUGCAAUUUUCUGUCAUGAACGAGGAAUACCUUGUAAGCGCGGGUCAUCAUCCCGCGCUGAAUACGUCCCUGCCCUUUGUACACACCGCCCGUCGCUCCUAUCGAUUGAGUGGUCCGGUGAGGCUUUGGGAUCUGGAUGGAAAGAGCGUUUCGCUGUUUCUGCCCGGAAAACUCAGUCGAACCUUAUCAUUUAGAGGAAGGAGAAGUCGUAACA
rnacentral:rRNA from 1 species